rnacentral:rRNA from 1 species
AUGGCGGUCAUGAUCUUGAUCCCGAAGAAGGAAGGGGCCACUAGCCUAACUGAUUUCAGACCAAUAAGCUUGAUCCACAGCAUCGCAAAACUAAUUGCAAAAAUUCUGUCUCGCAGGCUGCAACUGGUGAUGAAUCAGCUUGUCUCGCCUUGCCAAAGUGUUUUCAUCCGAAAGAGAUCGAUACUUGACAAUUUUAUGUAUGUCCAUGCAAUGAUUAGAACCCUGAAGGCUAGAAGAACUCCUGCACUGCUUCUGAAGAUUGACAUCACAAAAGUCUUCGACAGCGUCUCUUGGGAAUUUCUCCUCGAGCUACUUUCUGCUAGGGGUUUUGGCAUCAGAUGGACGAACUGGAUUUCAGGGUUGCUCGCAACAUCAUCCACCAGGCUGAACAUCAACGGUGAUCUAUCGGAGAUGAUCAAACACCGCUGCGGGCUUCGAUAG